GUCCAGACUCCUACGGGAGGCAGCAGUGGGGAAUAUUGCACAAUGGGGGAAACCCUGAUGCAGCGACGCCGCGUGAGCGAUGAAGUAUUUCGGUAUGUAAAGCUCUAUCAGCAGGGAAGAAGAUGACGGUACCUGACUAAGAAGCCCCGGCUAACUACGUGCCAGCAGCCGCGGUAAUACGUAGGGGGCAAGCGUUAUCCGGAUUUACUGGGUGUAAAGGGAGCGUAGACGGCGAUGCAAGCCAGAUGUGAAAGCCCGGCGCUCAACGUGGGAACUGCCUUUGAAACUGGCAAACUGGAGUGUGUGAGAGGAUAGUGGAAUUCCAGGUGUAGGAGUGAAAUCCGUAGAUAUCUGGAGGAACAUCAGUGGCGAAGGCGACUAUCUGGCACAUAACUGACGCUGAGGAGCGAAAGCGUGGGUAGCAAACAGGAUUAGAUACCCCAGUACG
rnacentral:rRNA from 1 species